rnacentral:rRNA from 1 species
GACGAACGCUGGCGGCGUGCUUAACACAUGCAAGUCGAACGGAAAGGCCCUGCUUUUGUGGGGUGCUCGAGUGGCGAACGGGUGAGUAGCACGUGAGUAACCUGCCCUUGACUUUGGGAUAACUUCAGGAAACUGGGGCUAAUACCGGAUAGGAGCUCCUGCUGCAUGGUGGGGGUUGGAAAGUUUCGGCGGUUGGGGAUGGACUCGCGGCUUAUCAGCUUGUUGGUGGGGUAGUGGCUUACCAAGGCUUUGACGGGUAGCCGGCCUGAGAGGGUGACCGGCCACAUUGGGACUGAGAUACGGCCAGACUCCUACGGGAGGCAGCAGUGGGGAAUAUUGCACAAUGGGCGGAAGCCUGAUGCAGCAACGCCGCGUGCGGGAUGACGGCCUUCGGGUUGUAAACCGCUUUCGCCUGUGACGAAGCGUGAGUGACGGUAAUGGGUAAAGAAGCACCGGCUAACUACGUG